CAAAACCCUUCUUGGCCAAGAACAAGCAAAAAUGAAAGGGAAUUUAAUGAUUUGUUGAUGCAUGAAACUCAAUCCUUAAUCAUCUUAACCAUCUUAACAAACGGGAUAAAGGAAAAAAGUUCAAGUCACACAAAGCAAGAAGGAAAUCAAGACCGAGGUAAAACUCAAGUUUAAAAUGGUCAAGCUUCGCUCGGAUCAAACACAUUUUGAAUGCCCUUCAUGCGCUUCCGCAAUUUUUGUAAAAGAUGUUAAUGGGUCAAAAUACUUUUGUUAAAAUGGCUUAUGUCUAGUAGUUAGACC